GGUUAGUGGGGGGGGGGGGGGGGGGGUGAUAGGGGGGGGGUGGGGGUGGGCCUGAGUUGUUGGGCGUAAAGGGCGUGUGGGGGGGCUGUCGCGUCGGAUGUGAAAGCGCGGGGCGUAACCCCGGGUCUGCAUUGGAUACGGGCAGGCUAGAGGGUGGUAGGGGGGAGCGGAGUGCCUGGUGUAGCGGUGAAAUGCGCAGAUAUCAGGAGGAACACCGGUGGCGAAGGCGGAUCUCUGGGCCAUUACUGACGCUGAGGAGCGAGAGCGUGGGGAGCGAACAGGAUUAGAUACCCCAUAGUC
rnacentral:rRNA from 1 species